GAACGAACGCUGGCGGCAGGCCUAACACAUGCAAGUCGAACGCCGUAGCAAUACGGAGUGGCAGACGGGUGAGUAACGCGUGGGAACAUACCCCUCGGUUCGGAAUAACUCAGGGAAACUUGGGCUAAUACCGGAUACGUCCGAGGUUUUAAUCGGCCUUGGAGAAAGAUUUAUCGCCGGAGGAUUGGCCCGCGUCUGAUUAGCUUGUUGGUGAGGUAAUGGCUCACCAAGGCGACGAUCAGUAGCUGGUCUGAGAGGAUGGUCAGCCACAUUGGGACUGAGACACGGCCCAAACUCCUACGGGAGGCAGCAGUGGGAAUAUUGGACAAUGGCGAAAGCCUGAUCCAGCCAUGCCGCGUGAGUGAUGAAGCCUUAGGGUGUAAAGCUCUUUACCCGGGAAGAUAAUGACGGUA
rnacentral:rRNA from 1 species